AGAGACCUCCCUCCCCUUUUCUUGGGAGUCAAAGCGGAGUCCGCCCCUCUUCCUCCUCCGCUGGCGUGGCCUGGCCUGGAUCUCAUUCGUCGUCGUCUUCAACCUCGAAGGAACCCUAGCCCCGCCGUCCCACCCAGGCAGAUUGAUAGAUGUCGCAGUGCAAUGAAGUAAGGUACACCGCGCGCUCCAUCACGCCGCCGGGGGCAGACAGGGACAGCGCGUCGCCCCCUCCCAAGAGGCGCGCCUUGUCCAAGUCGCCGCCGCUCCCUCCCCCUCCACCGUUCCCACCCAAGGGGGCGGUGCGCAUCCUCUCCUCGAGGUCGCCUCCUCCGCCUUCUAGGAGGCGCAGCAGCGCCUCGAGGUCUCCCCCGCCUAAGAGACGUGGCAGAUCAAGGUCUUCUUCCCCCAAGAAGCGUGGCAGGUCAAGGUCUCCUUCCCCCAAGAGGCGUGGCAGGUCAAGGUCAAGGUCCAGGUCCAGGAACAAGAGCCGCUCCAGGAGUAGAGAUGACCUAAGGAAUCCCGGUAACAACCUGUACGUCACGGGCCUGUCCACGCGCACAUCAAGUUCGGACCUGGAGAAGUUCUUCAGCAAGGAGGGAAAGGUUUUAGACUGCCAUAUCGUUGUCGAUCCUCGCUCCAAGGAACCGCGUGGCUUUGCGUUUGUGACAAUGGAGAAGGUGGAGGAUGCGAGGCGUUGCAUCAAGUACCUACAUCGUUCUGUGCUUGAAGGCCGCCUCAUCAGCGUGGCAAAGGAAAUGGAGAAAAUCUGUGUUCCUUCGCUUUUCUCCUGCUGUCUUCCCCAACUACAGGGUCCACACUGUUGGGCUGCCACAUCAUCGAUACUAGGCUGUCUGUAAUAUUACUGAACCAUCAUCGACGUCCCCCGCUAUAUUGUCUAUCUGCACCGACCUUACUGAACCAUCAUCGACAUCGUCUCGUUCACUGUCUGCACCGACCUUACUGAACCAUCAUCGACAUUGUCUGGUUCACUGUCUGCACCGACCUUACUGAACCAUCAUCGACAUCGCCUGGUUCACUGUCUGCACCGACCUUAGACCUGAAGCCAUCUUGGGAUCUCGGAGUUAGAAAACAGAGAAUGCUGCAGUGCUAUGCGUCACCACCAAACAUAGACCUUGUGUCGAUGUGAUGCUACAAGUACUGUACUCUUUGUGUACAUCCUUGGAGCUACUGUGGCAAAGAGAACCCGCGAGAGGACACCUACUCCUGGAGAAUACUGUGGUCCAAGAGGCGGGCGUGCUCGAUCUUCACCUCGCCGAUCCAGCAGGGGGUCGAGGGACCGCUCGAGGUCGCCUGGUGGAGGAAGGGACAAAGACAGGAAGC